rnacentral:rRNA from 1 species
AUGGACGCAAGUCUGAUGGAGCAACGCCGCGUGAGUGAAGAAGGGUUUCGGCUCGUAAAGCUCUGUUGGUAGUGAAGAAAGAUAGAGGCAGUAACUGGCCUUUAUUUGACGGUAAUUACUUAGAAAGUCACGGCUAACUACGUGCCAGCAGCCGCGGUAAUACGUAGGUGGCAAGCGUUGUCCGGAUUUAUUGGGCGUAAAGCGAGUGCAGGCGGUUCAAUAAGUCUGAUGUGAAAGCCUUCGGCUCAACCGGAGAAUUGCAUCAGAAACUGUUGAACUUGAGUGCAGAAGAGGAGAGUGGAACUCCAUGUGUAGCGGUGGAAUGCGUAGAUAUAUGGAAGAACACCAGUGGCGAAGGCGGCUCUCUGGUCUGCAACUGACGCUGAGGCUCGAAAGCAUGGGUAGCGAACAGGAUUAGAUACCCUGGUAGUCCAUGCCGUAAACGAUGAGUGCUAAGUGUUGGGAGGUUUCCGCCUCUCAGUGCUGCAGCUAACGCAUUAAGCACUCCGCCUGGGGAGUACGACCGCAAGGUUGAAACUCAAAGGAAUUGACGGGGGCCCGCACAAGCGGUGGAGCAUGUGGUUUAAUUCGAAGCAACGCGAAGAACCUUACCAGGUCUUGACAU